rnacentral:rRNA from 1 species
UCAUGGCUCAGAUUGAACGCUGGCGGCAUGCCUUACACAUGCAAGUCGAACGGCAGCACGGGAGCUUGCUCCUGGUGGCGAGUGGCGAACGGGUGAGUAAUACAUCGGAACGUACCCUGAAGUGGGGGAUAACGUAGCGAAAGUUACGCUAAUACCGCAUAUUCUGUGAGCAGGAAAGAGGGGGAUCGCAAGACCUCUUGCUUUAGGAGCGGCCGAUGUCGGAUUAGCUAGUUGGUGAGGUAAAGGCUCACCAAGGCGACGAUCCGUAGCGGGUCUGAGAGGAUGAUCCGCCACACUGGGACUGAGACACGGCCCAGACUCCUACGGGAGGCAGCAGUGGGGAAUUUUGGACAAUGGGCGCAAGCCUGAUCCAGCCAUGCCGCGUGAGUGAAGAAGGCUUCGGGUUGUAAAGCUCUUUCGGUGGGGAAGAAAUUGCUUCGGUUAAUACCUGGAGUAGAUGACGGUACCCGCAUAAGAAGCACCGGCUAACUACGUG